rnacentral:tRNA from 4 species
GGAAGGGUGGCAGAGUGGUCGAAUGCACCGGACUCGAAAUCCGGCAUACGGUUAUGCCGUAUCGAGGGUUCGAAUCCCUCCCCUUCCGCCA